CCCCCACCCACGACUCCCGUAUUGUCGAGGUACGCGUUGAUCGGCCACUUGCGAUUUGCGUUUGGGCGUGCGAGCGACUGUCUCUCCCCCUCUGCAGCAACGUUACUGUGGCGCGUGUCGUGGCUAUCCCGCUCUCCAUCCCCCCCCUUCCCUCUCAUCAGCCCAUAUACUGUUCCUCAGCGCCGCCUCUCCCCCUUGCCAGUGUAUUAUUGUCUUCACGUGCGUGAACCUGGCACUCAUCUGGUGCUUCUGUUGGCAUUGCCGUGCCCAGCGGUGAGCCUGUUGGUGCUGCUGCCCCCUCCCCACCUCACUCACCCCCCCCCCAUCUCAUCCUCCCUUCGUAUCGUCCAUCCUCGACCUCCUUGCCACACAUCCAGUGCGUAGUAGUCCCCCAUAUAUAUAUACACCGUACACGUACAUAUAUAUAUUUGCUUGACCUUCUCCCCACCCCCUCAUCAUUCACCUCCCCUUCCCCGUGCACCUCCCCUCGCACCUCUCGGCACGCACGCGCGUGGGCUUCCUUCUUUUUCGCUUGCGUCUUGCGCAUCCCCCCUUUUUCUUCGCUCUCCCUGCACCGCCACGUAAAACCACGGCGGGGAGGGUCCGGAGGUGCACAGGUGUCGUGUGCACACACGCUCAUCUACGCAGUCGAAGAGGUCCGGUCGUCUUCGGCUCUCGCGUAUUUGAGUAGGGAGUGCGCCAAACACACACACACACCAAAUAGGCUCUCGUAGAUCAUCGUGUGCGGGGAAUCUGCAGUCGGUGCUCUAGCACCGGUCUCCUUCAUCUUUCCUCACUACCACCCGUGUACCAUCUUGCCGUCGACGAUGGCGCAUCAUCAGCCCACAAAUGUGGAGGUGGAAAACAAGGUAGCCUUCUUCGUUCAGCUCAACGCCUUGCUCACGCGGAUCAGCUCCGUGGUGAGCAGCGAUGCCCUCAGCAGUGCGCAGAAGGCAAAACUGAGCGACGUGCGUAGCGCCACCGAGGCAUGGCUAAAGGACGUCGGCGUUAUUAGUGCACCACGCCCCUUCAUCGCCGCCGCACCACCACCACCACCACCACCACCGACGCCGCUGCGCUCAUCCGUAACGGAGACCCCUGCAGCAGCAGCGCCCCUGUCGGAAACGGUGGCAGCCAGCAAGCAGCAAGACGAAGAGCAGGCAGAGGCAGCACUGACCCAGGCACCCGAAGCACCAGCGGCAGAGCAAGCGACGGCAACAACGUCAUCGGCUGCAGACGGCCCUGCGCGUGCAUCGGCGUCGCCGGCUACGCCUGGAGGAUCCAGCACCGCCACCGCGGCAGUCACCUCGACGCAUGAGCGGGCAGAUGCGCGCAAGUUGGUAGGCCUUGUGAGCUACCUGCGACUGCUCUUCGAUAGUGACGUACCGGAGAGGGCGAAACUGCAGGAGUUUGGUAAAAGUCUUGUGCGCCUGUUGAUGGUGCGGUGCUGCUCGACGAUUAUGGCCUCUCUCCAGCACGUCGUGCACCACACGUAUAUCGGCACCACCACCGCCGCCGAGGAGGAGGGCGACGCAGAGGCAGCUCUGUCGGCGCUCUUCGUGCAGCUUGCAAAGGAAAUCGACGUGGCCACGAAGGCUCUGCUCGGCUGUGUUCGACUCAUCACCUCCAGCGCCGUCCUUUCAGAAGCGGCCAGUGCCCGUUUUCCUGUGCAGCUGUGUGUCGACGUGGUGAAGCAGACCCGUCGCGCACAGGUGUACUUCCAGUCACGCGUAGAGAGGGAGGAGUAUCAUCUGCUGCGCACGUUCGUCACGUCCUCCGAUACCGCGGCAAAAUCGACGGAGGGGUCAUUGGAGGACGUGGACGCGGUGCACGACGCCCUUGAGAGCGUAUCACCGGAGCGUGUGGCGGCACACGUGCUGCGCCGCGUUGAAGCGCUGCGGCGGCGAUGGGGCCCAUCUCUGGUGCACAGCGUCCGCAACAUCGGUGACGUCAUUGAGCCAUCUGUGAAGUUUCUGGCGACAGUUGCCGCCGUCCGUGCCGAGGGAGCACCGGCGCCGCUUGUGGCACUCAAAAAGGACGCCGCCCACGACCUCUUUUCGCUCUGCGAGCCUGUGACGGUGGCGACUACGGCGGCGGGCGGGCAGCCCUGUCUUGCCAAGUCGCUCUCCACAUGUGACUCGCCAUCUGUCGUGGCGGCGCCCGUUAGUGCGAGCAGCGCUACGCCACUGGCGUGGCGAGCAGCGGCGGGCGAGGUGCUCAUCCGCCUCGGCAGCAGCUUCUCCGCCGACUACCUCGCUGCCGUGGCGGCGUGCUGCGGGGACAGCAACGAAGGCGAGCUUCUCGCUACUCGGCUUCUCACGGACAUGUUGAAGUGCGUCGCGGCCCACGAUUUGCCGCUUCUGCGGUGUGUGCUGCUAGACGGUCGGUGGUACCGGGCCUUGUACGGCGGCAUCCUCAACUGCGUCUCCUCAAGCCAGCCGGCAGUGUUGGCUGCCGGGCUGGAUGCGCUCGGGCUGCUAACCACCGCCUGCCCAGUGGUGAUUGGCCGGGAGGUGGGUCUCCUUUACAGCAACGUUGUGCUGCGCCUGCUGGAGUCCUCGAACACCCCGCAGUAUGUGAAGCGCACUAUCGUGCUUCACUUCGUCACAACGUUCAUGGGCAGCGGCAGCACCCUCCCCGCCGACGGCGGCGGCGGCGCCAUUCCUCUCAUCCUCCACUUGUACCGCCUGUACGACCUCAAUGUGCACGCCCAUCAGCUGAACCUCAUGCAGCAGCUCACCAGCGCCCUCUCCCGCAUCGUGCGGGCCGCGCCAAAGGAAGAGCUCAUGCAGGACGCCGUGGUGCGGGAACAACUGCAAAUCCAGCAAGAGGCGGCGCCAAGUGCAGUGAUGACGGCGCCCGCGGCUCAGUUGGACGGGGCACAGCAUCGUGCUGAAGUUGCGAACGGCACCACGUCCUCGGAGCCGUCCUCGCUGGUCGCGGCCGCCCUCAACCCGGCCUCACUCUCACUCCCUGCCAUGGCGCUACACGGACUCGUCCGGAUCGUCGAACUCCUGACGACGCAGACGCCUCCCGAGGAGGAGAGCGGCAAGGAUGUGCUCGCCUCACUGCCUGCCAUGACGUGUCGCGAGUCUAAGCUCAAGGAGCAGCAGGAGGUCGACCGCUUCAACGCUGCUCCCAAGAAGGCGAUCUACAAGCUCUUCAACGUAACUGCCGAGGAGAACGCGAUUCCUGCCUCGCACGCCGACUUCAGCAGCCAGUGGGAGCACACGCUGCUCCCACCGCUUACGUCUGCUGCCGCAGCGAAGGUGGAGGCCGUCGCCGACUUUCUCAACCAAGUCAGCUCCCUCAACCCUGAGGCGGUGUCGGAGUUCCUGACGACGCCGGAGGUGUUUCCGCUGCAAGUCUGCAGAACCUACCUGCGGCGCCUGCCACUGGCCGGGUGCAGUGUGCUGGAGGCCAUCAGCGAGCUCCUCAUGCGUGUGCAGCUGCCCAAAGAGGGGCAGCGCAUCGAACGACUGCUCGAGUACUUCUCCGCCGCUUACUAUGAGGCAAACCGCGGGCACGGCAUCGACAGCGACAUCUUCCCGUUUAAAAGCGACACGGCGGUGUUCAUUGUCGUGGUCGCUACGGUGAUGCUCAACACCAACAUCCACAACCCUUCCGCAGGGAUGCGGUUAGAUGUGAAGGCGUUUCGCGGCCAGCUGCGCCGCUGCAACGACGACGAGAGCUUCGCCGACAGCUUCGUGGACGAUAUUUUCGACUGCAUCAGCACGCACCCGCUCGAGAGCAUCAAGAGCAUUGCCGCUGACGCGAACGCGAGCACCGACAGCACCAGCCGCGGGUCCUUCGACAUGUUCUUUGUAUCGCAGGAGGAGAAGCGGCAGCUGGCGUUUGGGGUGGAGCGGCAGCGCAUGGUGAGCGAGACGCGGCAGCUGCUGAAGCUGCGAACCCAGCAGGAGCCGCUCGCGCCUGCCCCGGAGGGGUGGUGGUGCGCUGUAGCGAAAGAUUUCUUCCUCAGCACCUGGUCCUCAGUGUGCGCCGUCUUCGGCCCUGCCAUGUACGAGGGCACCACUGCGGCGCCGUCGGAUGUCCUGCUGCAGUGUGUGCGGGGGCUGCAGUCGCUGCUGUGCAUGGCAGCCGCGUUCGACCUGCCAACGGAGUGCACCGUUACGCUGCUCACCCUGCUGCGCAUGGCGGAUGCGACGCCGGUGAGGGAGCAUUGCCGGCGAGCGGUGUUGGUCGUGGCCGCCACCACAUACGCCGUGAACUUUCCGGUAAGAUGCUGGGUUGCGGUGUGCCAGAUCAUUCUGGAGGUGCGCCGCACCGCGGCGGCGGCGACCCCGCCCCUCGUCGAAGACGUCUUCACACGGAUCGAGGGCAUCACGCGUCUUAGCGUCGAGACUGAAGAGAGGCGAGCGGCUGACGACUCCGCGCCGAAGACUGACCGGCCUACGGAGGCAAUCCACCGCGCCAUGGAAGGAGUCAUGACCACCAUCAGCGGCUACGCUGUCGGCGACGUCGCGAACCUCUCCUCCGCGCUGGCGGUGCUGCGUCGGGCCCUCGAGUACACGCGCAUUGUGCACGCGAAUCGCAGAACGGACAUUGUGUACUUCGUAAAUGUGCGCGACUUCACUGCGGUGGUGGCGCCGGCCUACGUGGAGCUCAUGAGGAAGCACAGCUCCAGCGACGACGGACUGCAGGUGCUCUUUGAGUGCCUGGUGGACUUGCUGUGCACGAUGUGGGUGUCCUACUCGACUAGCCGGGUCAUGGUCCCGGCACCGGCGGCGGCGGCGGCGGGGAAGGCGGAGACGGCGGAGACGCCGACGGUGGAUACCGCUCCAGCCGAAUUCGCGCAAAGCUUCCGCUUCCUGCGCAGCGUCUAUGACGUGACGCUCGCGUCCGCCUCUGAGGGGGCCGCGACGCUGCUGCAGAUGCACACGCUACAAGCCAUCAAGGAGGUGCUGUCGCGCACGGUACGCACGGCAGAGAUGACGGCCGCUGGCCAGCACCUCUCCCUCUACACCAUGAUGGCGUCGUGGCAAGAGGUGCUGUACCCGCUCGCCGUCGCGUUGUGCGACCGUAACAGCACCGCCGUCGAGGCAGGCAGUCUCGCCCUGUUGGUGCUGCGCAAGUUGGUCGCACUCUGCGGCGGCACCGGCACCGCAUCCUCCGAUCGACUUCCAGGGCCGGUGCGCGCCGCACUGCUGUGGUUGCUGGCUCAGCUUGCCUACAUGGGCGGUAUGUGCGGAGACGCGGACAGCGCUCAAGUGUGUGUGGCACUCCUGAGCAGCAUCUGCACGACCACGGUAGCAAUGUCCGUGACGGCCGCGUCGUCAUCAUCGCCGGGGUGUAGUACGGCCGGUCCGGCCUCUCCGGUGACCGCCGUGGCGGACCCGAGCACCGCUGCGCGGCUGAUGGAACAGCGCAACGCGCUAACACAGCAAGUGGUGACGUCCAUUGAAGAGAACCCGCACUAUGUCGUCCAGUGCACGCUAGCGCGGCUGUGCUUGCUGCUGCAGUGCGAGCGAGAACAGACGCGUGCGGAGGUGAUGCACCAGCUGCGCACCCUCUCGCUGCAGAUGCGGCCGGCGCAGCUGUGCCCCAUGGCGUUGGACUUGGCGGAGGUCGUGUUAGAGGGCACCAUCGGGCACGCCGCACACCACCGCCAGGCGCCACGCACGCAGUCGAGUCUUAUCCCCUUUCUCUUCUUCCAGAUGCCGGUGCCGGCGUCGAUGCGGCGGUGCUCGCGGACGUCAUUCCGGGCCACCGUGCCAGCAGCGCUCGGGUUCCUGGCCAACGAGCUGCUCACCGGCCUCAGUGGGGACGACCUGGCGAUGGCCGCCGAGUCGGUCAUGCGCCGCUGCCUCCUGCCGAUCCUCCUGAGCCCCAAUAGCCCCCAUCAAUGCCGCUUCAUCGCCGUCCGCUCCCUCUCCCAAUGCGUCUCCGUCUGCCUACCGCAGAACAGCGCUGCGCGGUCCCCGCAGCUGGCGCAGUGCGUGCUCGACUGCCUGGCGAUGGCACUGUAUGCGGUGCGCGUCCCGCUCACCUCCGUGGUGUCGCCCGACACCAGCUUCGUGGGCCGGCGCUGGCUGGACGCGCCGGCGAUCAGCUCUGCGUCAGGAUGGGCAGCGUACUGUGCUCAGGCUACUCACACGGUGGAGCUGAUGGACCGGGCAGAGCCGCAGUGGCUCGUGCGCGGGGCGGCUGCAGCAGCGGCGCAAGUGGCGCUAAGUACAUUGGCAGCAACGGCAACCGAAGAGCGGGAUGGCGCGGCCGCUACCCCGACAUCGAGUCGCGGGGGUUGCGCCACCAGCGAAGAGACACAUCGCGCCGACGGCGCCGCCUUCGUCCCGGACGAGGCGCUCAUCGAGUAUGUGAACCUGCUCGCCCAAAUGUUGGCCGGUGUGCCGAAAGAGCUGCAGGGUGUUGUGGCGAGCGCCGCCGCCGCUGCUGGCAGCGCCACGCCGUCUGCCGGCGCGGUGGCGGUGCCGGACAUGAAUACAGAUGACUGGAAGCUGCCCCGAGCCUCUGUCACGGUGCUGCUGCAGUUGUGCCUUCAGGCGGGCGGCACGCUCUUCGCCGUGUUGUGGCGCGUUAACCACCCGCACGAGGUGGAGCAGUACGCGAUGCAGUCGGUGGAGUCGAGACGGGAGGCGCUAGCGUUCACCAGAAACAGCGGCCUGUUGCCGCACGCGGCGAUACGCAGCGUCCUACAGUGCUACCUGAAAUUGGCCGUUCUGUCCACCGAGUACCCCUCUGCCGAGCUGCUGGAGGUUACCACGGACAUCAUCGAGGGAAUUCGCCAGGUGCAGGCUGCCACCCACGCCGCCGCGCCGUCGCCCUCGCCGCCGUCCUUGACAGUCGGCGGCGGCGCCGGGGCUGUGACGGCGGGGGCGAGCAGCACCUCCCUCGCUGCCGACGUCGCCUCGCUCCAGCGACUGCCGCCGCAAGAGCAGCAACACGUGCGCACCUGCAACUCAGGCAUGUACCAGCAGCUGUCUGUUGUCCUGGGGUAUCUGGUGCGGUUGCUGACGGGGCAAUCCACGUCGAUGGCGUCGGUGGCCGGUUGGGCAAGACGGCAGGAGGCCUUCGAGGCAAUGGCGCUGCACCCGCAGUUCUUCUCGUCCCUGGUCUCGCUGCUGACGCCGACGGCCGGUAUGCUGAUCAUCACGGUGCGCGACUACUUCGCAUGGUACAUCGCUCACGCACAGCUGCCGCAUCAGGCAAGCGAAAUCGCCGGGCCUGUCACGGUUAGCGGUGGCGCUGCCUGCUCGGGCGAGGCUACCUCAACCUGGGCAGCGGAGAGCGACGAGGAAGGCCCGUCAUCUUCGCAGCUGACGGCCUUGAACGGCACGCACGACGGCAAAGGCAGCGCUUUCGGCAGCUACAGUGUCAACGGUGGCGGGUCGGUGAAGCUCAGUUAUGUGAAGGCAGCUCGCACACUCUCGCCGAAGCCCUCAACGGUGGGCAUGGCAAGGAUGUGCAUGACGGAAGUGGUCAGCGAUGUGGCCGCGAAGAGCACCCGCAACUUCAAUAGUGAAUGACGGCAGGGAUGACGACGACGAGUCGCUGCUGAGUGCGCCCUCUCUACACCGCACCGUCAACGCCGUGGCAGGAAGUCCCGCGAAGGAGCACUGCUUCACAAGUCCAUUGAGGAGAGAAAGCGGUGGAGCGAAAGGCAGCACCACUGCAUGCCUGGGUGUCCCUCGUUGCGCGCAUGCGGUGGCGUGUGAUGUAUGAGGUGUGUGUUGGCCACAACGGUGGCGGCUGUUGUCUGGUCAGGUGCAAUAAGG
rnacentral:misc_RNA from 1 species